AAACUACUCCCUCCGUUCGGAAUUACUUGUCGCAGAAAUGGAUGUAUCUAGACAUAUUUUAGUUCUAGAUACAUCCAUUUUCGAGACAAGUAAUUCCGAACGGAGGGAGUAAUGA
rfam:Triticum aestivum genome assembly, contig: Triticum_aestivum_CS42_TGACv1_scaffold_558337_7AL